rnacentral:lncRNA from 1 species
AUUUGACAGCUUAAUCAAAUAUAUAUAAUACUGUGCCUGAUAAUUAGAGUUGAAUGUUUUUAGGGUCCGCCGGGUGAUUUUGGGCCUAGUGGUAUCCAGGGCCCGAAAGGACCACAGGGUUUGAUGGUAAGCACCACUUUGAACACAGCUGUCACAAAACUUAAUGAAACAGACAGAGAUUGAUAGAUCAGCAACUACUGUAGGUGUUCCUGUUUUUCAGGGAAGGGAAGGAACCAUUGGACCAGUCGGAAUCAUCGGCCCCAGUGGAUAUCCAGGACCACAGGGGGACAAAGGAAAUCGAGGGGAAACGGU